rnacentral:rRNA from 1 species
AGUAACACGUAAACAACCUGCCUUCAGGAUGGGGACAACAGACGGAAACGACUGCUAAUACCGAAUAAGUUCCAGGAGCCGCAUGGCCCAUGGAAGAAAAGGUGGCCUCUACCUGUAAGCUAUCGCCUGAAGAGGGGUUUGCGUCUGAUUAGCUGGUUGGAGGGGUAACGGCCCACCAAGGCGACGAUCAGUAGCCGGUCUGAGAGGAUGAACGGCCACAUUGGGACUGAGACACGGUCCAGACUCCUACGGGAGGCAGCAUG